GGCGAACGGGUGAGUAACACGUGAGCAACCUGCCCUUAGCUUUGGGAUAACCCUCGGAAACGGGGGCUAAUACCGGAUGUUCACCUUCUGGCGCAUGUUGGGGGGUGGAAAGUUUUUCGGCUAGGGAUGGGCUCGCGGCCUAUCAGCUUGUUGGUGGGGUGAUGGCCUACCAAGGCGACGACGGGUAGCCGGCCUGAGAGGGCGACCGGCCACACUGGGACUGAGACACGGCCCAGACUCCUACGGGAGGCAGCAGUGGGGAAUAUUGCACAAUGGGCGAAAGCCUGAUGCAGCGACGCCGCGUGAGGGAAGACGGCCUUCGGGUUGUAAACCUCUUUCAGAUCCGACGAAGCGCAAGUGACGGUAGGGUCAGAAGAAGCGCCGGCCAACUACGUGCCAGCAGCCGCGG
rnacentral:rRNA from 1 species